GGUUACUGCUAUCGAGGUUCGACUAAGCCAUGCGAGUCGAAUGUAGCAAUACAUGGCGAACUGCUCAGUAACACGUGGACAACCUGCCCUUAGGUUGGGUAUAAACCCGGGAAACUGGGUAUAAUACCCGAUAGGUCUCGAUUGCUGGAAUGCAUCGAGAUUUAAAGCUCCGGCGCCUAAGGAUGGGUCUGCGGCCUAUCAGGUAGUAGUGGGUGUAGCGUACCUACUAGCCUACGACGGGUACGGGUUGUGAGAGCAAGAGCCCGGAGAUGGAUUCUGAGACACGAAUCCAGGCCCUACGGGGUGCAGCAGGCGCGAAAACUUUACAAUGCUGGCAACAGCGAUAAGGGAACCUCGAGUGCCAGGUUACAAAUCUGGCUGUCGAGAUGCCUAAAAAGCAUUUCAUAGCAAGGGCCGGGCAAGACCGGUGCCAGCCGCCGCGGUAACACCGGCGGCUCGAGUGGUAACCGUUAUUAUUGGGUCUAAAGGGUCUGUAGCCGGCCGGAUAAGUCUCUUGAGAAAUCUGGCAGCUUAACUGUCAGGCUUUCAGGAGAUACUGUCUGGCUCGAGGCCGGGAGAGGUGAGAGGUACUUCAGGGGUAGGGGUGAAAUCUUGUAAUCCUUGAAGGACCACCAGUGGCGAAAGCGUCUCACCAGAACGGACCUGACGGCAA
rnacentral:rRNA from 1 species